rnacentral:rRNA from 1 species
GACGAACGCUGGCGGCGUGCUUAACACAUGCAAGUCGAACGCUGAAGCCCUUUCGGGGGUGGAUGAGUGGCGAACGGGUGAGUAACACGUGGGUAAUCUGCCCUGCACUCUGGGAUAAGCCUUGGAAACGGGGUCUAAUACCGGAUAGGACACAUCGCCGCAUGGUGUGUGUGUGGAAAGUUCCGGCGGUGCAGGUUGAGCCCGCGGCCUGUCAGCUUGUUGGCGGGGUGAUGGCAUACCAAGGCGACGACGGGUAGCCUGCCUGAGAGGGUGACCGGCCACACUGGAAGUGAGACGCAGCCCAGACUCCUACGGGAGGCAGCAGUGGGGAAUCUUGCGCAAUGGGCGAAAGCCUGACGCAGCAACGCCGCGUGGGGGAUGACGGCCUUCGGGUUGUAAACCUCUUUCGACCGGGACGAAGGGUGACUGACGGUACCGGUAGAAGAAGCACCGGCUAACUACGUGCCAGCCGCCGCGGUAA